AGGCCCUUCGGGGUACACGAGCGGCGAACGGGUGAGUAACACGUGAGCAACCUGCCCCUGACUCUGGGAUAAGCCGUGGAAACGCGGUCUAAUACCGGAUACGACACUCUGCUGCAUGGUGGGGUGUGGAAAGUUUUUUCGGUUGGGGAUGGGCUCGCGGCCUAUCAGCUUGUUGGUGGGGUAACGGCCUACCAAGGCGAUUACGGGUAGCCGGCCUGAGAGGGCGACCGGCCACACUGGGACUGAGACACGGCCCAGACUCCUGCGGGAGGCAGCAGUGGGGAAUCUUGCGCAAUGGGCGGAAGCCUGACGCAGCGACGCCGCGUGGGGGAUGACGGCCUUCGGGUUGUAAACCUCUUUUACCACUCACGCAGGCCAGGGGUUUUCUUCUGGUUGACGGUAGGUGGGGAAUAAGGACCGGCUAACUACGUGCCAGCAGCCGCGGUAAUACGUAGGGUCCGAGCGUUGUCCGGAAUUAUUGGGCGUAAAGAGCUCGUAGGCGGCGUGUCGCGUCUGCUGUGAAAGACCGGGGCUUAACUCCGGUUUUGCAGUGGAUACGGGCAUGCUAGAGGUAGGUAGGGGAGACUGGAAUUCCUGGUGUAGCGGUGAAAUGCGCAGAUAUCAGGAGGAACACCGGUGGCGAAGGCGGGUCUCUGGGCCUUACCUGACGCUGAGAGCAAAGCUGGGGGAGAAAAAAAAAAAAGAGGGGGGGGGUCAAAAGGGGCUACG
rnacentral:rRNA from 1 species